UACGUAGGCAGCAAGCGUUGUUCGGAAUUACUGGGCGUAAAGAGUGUGUAGGCGGUGCUCCAAGUCUGGUGUGAAAUCUCCCGGCUUAACUGGGAGGGUGCAUUAGAAACUGGAAUGCUAGAGGAUGGGAGAGGUAAGCGGAAUUCCUGGUGUAGCGGUGAAAUGCGUAGAUAUCAGGAGGAACACCUGUGGUGUAGACAGCUUACUGGACCAUUUCUGACGCUGAGACACGUAAGCGUGGGUAGCAAACAGG
rnacentral:rRNA from 1 species